CUUUUCUUUCUGGCUCUGGACUAACCAAGUCUAUACCUCAGUCACCAUCUGAACAAUUUUCCUCUUAUAAGCCUUUCAAGGCUGUCCCAGAAUGAGCUCCAAACUGGCUGUCCCACGUACGAAAGCCCGUGAGAGACUGUCCCAGGCAUAAGCUCCAAACGAGCUAUCCCAGGCAUGAGCUCCUAACCAGCUGAUCCACCUAUAAGCCAGUGGGGAUUGUUCCAGGCAUAAGCUCCUGACGGACUGUCCCAGACAUAAGCUCCCGACAGACUGUCCCAGGCAUAAGCUCCUGACCGG
rnacentral:lncRNA from 1 species